GUCCAUGUUUAAGGAAGCGUUGAAGGUCACGUCACUCAAAGCCAACAUCAGCAGGCAUCCUACCAAGAUAAUCUCUGAAGAGGUCAGAGGCACAAUUAUUACAAUUUAUUGUGGACAGGAAAACACAUGGAUGUUGAAUACCAGUUCCUGUGAAAGAUACUUGGGUUUCGGGAUAACAACAGUCCCAAGUCUUCAGAACAAAUCAACAGGUGCAUACUCUCAAACCACAAAUUCAAUCAAGUAUUUCCUUGCACUUACUUGUUAUGACUUCUUAGUCUCUCCAGUCUGUGACAGUUACUCAUUUUCUCCCUGAUACAAGGACUACAACACUUUGGAAGGUGCUUGUCAGAAAUUUAUUCUCCUUAUAUACAUUCCUACACACAUGUGGAUGCUUUUAUUGAAACCAGUUCAUAGGAAGAAUCAUCAAUGGAUGCUAAAACUAAUUGGUGAAAAUAUAAUGAGAAAAAGGAUAUUUACACAGAUCUUCCCUCACAAGAUAUCAUAACUAAUUAUUGUAGUGGAAAUCUUUGUAUACGCUGCUUCAUUCAAGGGAGUACAAUUGAUAUUAACAGCAAUGGGAUAAACAGACCCCAUGAUGUGAUGCACUGAGGACACAAAAUCCCUUCUGUGAUGCUCCUGCCAAACUCCAUAAGUGUAAUGAUGAGGAAACAACAGGCAAACCCUAACCAAGCGACAUUCUACAAAAUAACAUAUCAGUACCUUCAAAAAUGUCAUCAAGGACAAGGAAAAACUGAGGAAUAGGAAUUGUUCCAGAUUAAAAGUGACUAAAGUGACAUGACAAAUAAAUGCAACUUGUAAUAAAGGUUUGAAUCCCUGGACAAGAAAAGAAGUUUUGUUUUUCCGUAGAAGGAUGUCAAAGGAAAAAUUGACAAAAUUCAAAAUUCAAAUAAAGUCUCUAUGUAAGGACAAAAACUGGGAAUAAUAAUAGUAUCUAUAUCAGUACCAUUGUAAAGAUUAUAUGAUAAAACAUAUUAUCAAUAAGUGUUUGUGUUAACAGGUCAUAUACAUGAUACCCUCAGGGUAAUAUGUCCCAUGGAAUUAAAAAUUUGGGUAACAGAAUCAUAUAUGAUAUAUUACAUAAUAUCUCUCAUGAUUUCUGGGAAGCCCACAUAAAUAUGAGGCAAAUUAGAUUAGCUUUCAUACAAAAUAGAAUAAAGAAUAUAAAUAGCUUCAUAUGAGUUUCAUUUCAGGUGUUAGUGACAAAAAAGAUCUGGUCAGGAGAGGAUUUUACUACCAACUGAAAUUCCACACACAUAUACACACAAUUUCAGUCUUCAGAAAUUUUUGGCACAUGAUUUGUCUAUGAAAGGGGUGAUGAUGAUGAUGAUGAUGAUGAUGAUGAUGGUAAUGAUAAUGAUGACUAUUUGUCCAUAAAA
rnacentral:lncRNA from 1 species